CAAUGUUAAUCCUUAUUAAUAUUCUAUUGAUUUUUGAUAAUUGAUAAUUAUCUUUGAUGAUUGUUGAAUUUGAAUGAGCUAGUGUUAAUUUUAAUUAAUGUUUCAUCGAUGUUAACAAUUAACGAUUAUCUUUGAUAAUUGUUGAUUUAAAGGAUAAAAAAAAAGCUAACAUUGAUUCUCAUCAAUGUUCUAUUGAUUUUAAUAAUAAUUAUCUUUGAUAAUUAUUAAUUAUUGCUAAUAACCAAACUUGCUCCUAAACGUAGCACACUACAUUUACUGGAGCCCCAUAUGAGGUUUUAAUGACUUAGAUUCAAUUAAUUAAUUUAAAUAUGAAUUAAUAACUAAAAAAAUAAUUUCUGAUAGUAACACUGAUCUAAACAACCAGUAAAGCCCUACAUCAUUGUCUUUUCAUUUACCUCAUUGCUCAGCAUCGUUACAAGCAGCCGUUGAGCUCAUAUUAACGAGAGAGGAAUGGCUUCUUUACCUCAUCCAUGCUAAGUGAGAUUAGAAUUAAAAGUUUCUUUUUUUAUUGUUUUGAUCAACAAUUUUCUGUAAAGAGCAGAAAGGAUAUUAAAAGCGAUAUUAUUUAGUGACAUUUGGAUUGUGUGGAUCUCGUCUUUGGGCACACAUUACACAAAACAACUUUUACUCACAACAUGCAGUGAAAGGAUCUUGCUGCUGAACUUCUUCACCACUAUACUACUAAAUGAAAGAAAAGUAGAGUGAAUUCUGAACAUUUACCAGCCAGUGGCUAAUCACAGACAUUUUUAGUCAAUUAGCGCCAGUGGCAAGGCCAGAAAUGUCAAAGUGGGUCUGACCUUGGUAAAACAGGGUGGACCUCUAUUCUGUGACUACUCUCUGAUUUCAUUGUUAAUAUAAUGAAGCGUUCUACUUUCCACAGCCGUUAUGAGUCAAUAUUUCCUCAUUUUCACAGCCUAGUAUAUAGUUGCACAAUUAAUGGUACAAAAACAAUAAUUGUUUUUUAAACAAUGAACAAAACAGUGUAAAUGUAUAAUUAGUAAUUUACCUUAAUAGGUCAUAGUGAUGUGAUGGGAAAAAUAUUAAAUGGCCCUUGAAUAAAAUUCAAAAGAAUAAUAUAAAAGAUUAGACACAAUAAAAAAUUAUUAGGGUACAUUAUUACACUGGACACUUUCAGACCUCCUGUUGUGCACAGAUGUAUCUACUUCCCUGGAGAUGGGAUCUUUAAUUUAGCUGACAAACUCUCCUUUGGCUGAAGUUUUGUGCUUCAUGGAGCAACUGUUAUGGCAUAUAAUAAUUAUUUUGAAUAUUAUGUGAAAUUAGAGAGCUUGUUUCUUCCCCUGGAAUCAUCUGUGUUCUGGAUCAUUGUAUCAAUACUAUUUUCUGAAUUUUAUGUAUAUAUAUAUACACCGACAAGGCGCCACUCACCAUAGCACUUAAGUAUCUUUUUUUUUUUUUAUUAUUAUUUUCCUUGUACAUACUAACAUGUCUAAUUCACAAAUAACAUAUGCCUUCAAGCACAUCCCUGUUAUCUGUUACAGACCGUUUACACGAUAUAGAUGCAAGACAAAAUGCAACCCACACAACCUACGGCCACUUUGCACUUCAGCACCUGCUCCGCUCUCUUUCUCAGUGGGACUCUGGAACUGCCAGUCAGCUGUGAACAAAGCUGACUUCAUUCCAGCCUUUGCCACACAGUCCACCCUCAGCAUCCUGGCACUGACAGAAACAUGGAUACGUCCAGAGGAUACAGCAACACCUGCUGCUCUCUCCAACAACUUUUCCUUCUCUCACACCCCUCGACACACCGGUAGGGGUGGGGGAACAGGUUUGCUCAUUCAUAACAACUGGAUAUUUUCACCACACUCUUCUCUAUGUAACAAUACUACUUUUGAAUUCCAUGCUAUUACUACAAUGCAACCCACAAAAAUACAUGUUGUUGUCAUUUAUCACCCUCCAGGUCAGCUGGCAAACUUUAUCGAGGAGUUGGAUGUCCUGCUGUCCUCAUUCCCGGAGGAUAGUAAGCCACUUGUGAUUCUUGGUGAUUUCAACAUACACCAAGACAAGCCCCAGGCCACUGAACUGAAUGCUCUUCUGGCCUCAUUUGACUUGGAAAGACUAAGCACCACAGCAACACACAGAUCGGGCAACCAGCUGGACCUCAUUUUUACCCGCCAGCACAUACUACACCACCCAGCCCCUGGUUCUCUGACGUCCUUCGUGAACACUGGACUGACCUCAGAGCAGCUGAGAGGAGAUGGUGGAAAUCUAAAGAUCCAGCAGAUCUAGAACACGCUGCUGGAUGACAAUCAGUCAGGCUUCAAAAGUGGACACUCCACAGAGACUGCCCUGUUGUCUGUCACUGAGUCGCUGAGACAGGCAAAAGCUGAAUCCAGAUCAUGCGUCCUGAUUCUACUGGAUCUUUUUGCAGCCUUCGACACAGUCAACCAUCAGAUCUUACUCUCCACCCUCUCUUUGCUGGGCAUCACAGGAACUGUGCUUGACUGGUUUAACUCCUAUCUCUCAGCCCAACGACACCAUAGUGACUGCUCGAAUCUCUGCCUGCCUGGCGGCAGAGAAUCAAGUUCAAGACUCUGAUGCUGGCAUACAAAACAGUCACUGGGUCUGCUCCAGCAUACCUAAAAUCAUUUCUGCAGAGCUACGCGCCCACUAGAAGCCUAAGGAAUGUCGCCUUGUUGAGCCAACACAAAGAGGCACCAAAACACUUUCCCGGACUUUCGGCUUCAUCAUACAACGUUGGUGGAACGACCUUCCCAACUCCAUCCGUAAAGCUGACUCACUCUCUGUCUUCAAAAAACAGCUAAAAACACAUCUUUUCGCUUUGGAUAAAAGCAUCUGCCAAAUGAAUAAAUGUAAUGUAAGUGUAAAUCAUUGUAACAAGUUUCAUUGUUGGGUGGAAAGGAGGAAGCUGGGAUCAGCUUGAACAACACACGUAGACUUUAAUAUUCAAAAUAAACUCAACAUAAAACUUUCCUUUUCAGCAGAACACUGACACGCAGACACACACACAAACACAGCUUUGUGUGUGUGUGUGUGUGUGUGUGUCUCUCUCUCUUUGGCAUCCCUGGCUCUUCCUUAUCUCACUCUCCCACUGAUUGGGGCAACUCAGCGCCAGGCGUGCACCCUCACGGCCUGGCCACGCCCUCCUCCUCGUUACAAUCAUUCCUUUUGUAUGGAAAGUAGUGCAUUUUGACGUAAUUUUUCAUUAAACAUUUUUUUUUUCUCACGGUCACUCACUUGAC